AACGCGUGGGUAACCUGCCUUAUACCGGGGGAUAACAGCUAGAAAUGACUGCUAAUACCGCAUAAGCGCACAGAACCGCAUGGUUCCGUGUGAAAAACUCCGGUGGUAUAAGAUGGACCCGCGUUGGAUUAGCUAGUUGGCAGGGCAGCGGCCUACCAAGGCGACGAUCCAUAGCCGGCCUGAGAGGGUGAACGGCCACAUUGGGACUGAGACACGGCCCAGACUCCUACGGGAGGCAGCAGUGGGGAAUAUUGCACAAUGGGGGAAACCCUGAUGCAGCGACGCCGCGUGAAGGAAGAAGUAUCUCGGUAUGUAAACUUCUAUCAGCAGGGAAGAUAAUGACGGUACCUGACUAAGAAGCCCCGGCUAACUACGUGCCAGCAGCCGCGGUAAUACGUAGGGGGCAAGCGUUAUCCGGAUUUACUGGGUGUAAAGGGAGCGUAGACGGCGCAGCAAGUCUGAUGUGAAAGGCAGGGGCUUAACCCCUGGACUGCAUUGGAAACUGCUGUGCUUGAGUGCCGGAGGGGUAAGCGGAAUUCCUAGUGUAGCGGUGAAAUGCGUAGAUAUUAGGAGGAACACCAGUGGCGAAGG
rnacentral:rRNA from 1 species